UGCAUAUGUAGCAGAGGAUGGCCUAG
rnacentral:piRNA from 1 species